CUUAGCACUUUAUUGGGUAAAGGGAAAAGCAUUCCAUGCAGAAGGAUCAGCAAAAAUUAGUCUUGGGUAGGAGUUUUCUUAAGCCUAACUCUUAUUUAGUGCUGUCUUCAUGAGAAACAAAACUCUCUGAGAAGAUGGUGGUUUAGCUUUAAAAUAAUGUCAUUCACCCAGGGGCAGGAAAAGAAUGUCAAGACUUGGGAGUGAAAAGCAAACGAUGACAUCUGAUCUCAAGGGUGGGAAUAUGGAGAUGGGAGAAGGGCUCAUUCUAGAUGUAGCAUAUAGCCAAGAAUAAAAAGUCCUAAGACCCAUCUACCUGCUGUGGUACUAUAGGAAUACCUGGGGGAACGUGUGUUCUUAAAACCCAAAAGAGCUGGUCACUUUGGGAGCCCAGUUCUUGGGAGGCUGAGAAUGACUUGAAAUGAGCAAAACAAUUGAAGAUAAAGACUUUUCAUCUCUAACCCAAGACCAGUGAUAUGAUCAGUGGCCCUAGAUCACCAGAACUCUCUUCUUUUGUGGGCACAUACCACCUUAGGCUGCCAGGUUACAGACUUUAGUGUCAUGAAUUGUAGCCACAUCACUGCAGAGUUUCCAGCAAUGGUUGCCAUGGCACCAGGUGGCCUAAUCAUCAGUGUUUCAACAGUAUAGAGGCAGCAACACCUACUCAAAAAACUAGAGGACUAUUGGUGGACAUAGCAGGUUUCCUGGAUUUCUGUCAAUAGAAGAUUACCAAAUUAGGCCCAGAUCCCUUGGCAGAGGGAACAUUGCUGGAGUUCCUGGAGAAAUUCCAGGAAGGAAAGCAUGAGAGAGAGAAGAACCAUAUUAUUUGUGAUAAACGGAAUGAGACUCAGUGACAUUUAAUGUGACUAUUAAAAAUAAUGAGUUGCUGUUCUAUGCCCUGAGCUGAAGUUUUCACUGGCUUACCCAUAGCCCCUGGUGGACCCAGAGUUCACAUACAGGCAAUGCCUGUGCAUAGCAAAGCUUCAGUCAUCUCUCUCUGGAAAGAGCUGGAGAACGUUCAGACCAUGCACAGGGCAGCCCAGAGGGCCAAGAGCUCACACUCAGGAAUUGGAAAGCUUAUCGGUCUGGCCUCUGUUUCUGCUAGACAGACCUACCAGCAAGAUCAGCAAGGAAAUGGAAAUGCUGCAUGA
rnacentral:lncRNA from 1 species